GGGCGUUAAGUUGCAGGGUAUAGACCCGAAACCCGGUGAUCUAGCCAUGGGCAGGUUGAAGGUUGGGUAACACUAACUGGAGGACCGAACCGACUAAUGUUGAAAAAUUAGCGGAUGACCUGUGGCUGGGGGUGAAAGGCCAAUCAAACCGGGAGAUAGCUGGUUCUCCCCGAAAGCUAUUUAGGUAGCGCCUCGUGAAUUCAUCUCCGGGGGUAGAGCACUGUUUCGGCUAGGGGGCCAUCCCGGCUUACCAACCCGAUGCAAACUGCGAAUACCGGAGAAUGUUAUCACGGGAGACACACGGCGGGUGCUAACGUCCGUCGUGAAGAGGGAAACAACCCAGACCGCCAGCUAAGGUCCCAAAGUCAUGGUUAAGUGGGAAACGAUGUGGGAAGGCCCAGACAGCCAGGAUGUUGGCUUAGAAGCAGCCAUCAUUUAAAGAAAGCGUAAUAGCUCACUGGUCGAGUCGGCCUGCGCGGAAGAUGUAACGGGGCUAAACCAUGCACCGAAGCUGCGGCAGCGAACGUAUCACCCAAGACAACUUUACGGAGUUGACGAUUGACGGAGCGAAGCGACGUCAAAGCGUUCAUUAAAGUCGAGUUGGCUUAGGGAUACGUUCGUUGGGUAGGGGAGCGUUCUGUAAGCCUGUGAAGGUGUGUCGUGAGGCAUGCUGGAGGUAUCAGAAGUGCGAAUGCUGACAUAAGUAACGAUAAAGCGGGUGAAAAGCCCGCUCGCCGGAAGACCAAGGGUUCCUGUCCAACGUUAAUCGGGGCAGGGUGAGUCGACCCCUAAGGCGAGGCCGAAAGGCGUAGUCGAUGGGAAACGGGUUAAUAUUCCCGUACUUGGUGUUACUGCGAAGGGGGGACGGAGAAGGCUAUGUUGGCCGGGCGACGGUUGUCCCGGUUUAAGCGUGUAGGUGUGUGUUCCAGGUAAAUCCGGUUCACUUUAACACUGAGGCGUGACGACGAGGCACUACGGUGCUGAAGCAACAAAUGCCCUGCUUCCAGGAAAAGCCUCUAAGCAUCAGGUAACACGAAAUCGUACCCCAAACCGACACAGGUGGUCAGGUAGAGAAUACCAAGGCGCUUGAGAGAACUCGGGUGAAGGAACUAGGCAAAAUGGUGCCGUAACUUCGGGAGAAGGCACGCUGACACGUAGGUGAAGUGAUUUACUCAUGGAGCUGAAGUCAGUCGAAGAUACCAGCUGGCUGCAACUGUUUAUUAAAAACACAGCACUGUGCAAACACGAAAGUGGACGUAUACGGUGUGACGCCUGCCCGGUGCCGGAAGGUUAAUUGAUGGGGUCAGCGCAAGCGAAGCUCCUGAUCGAAGCCCCGGUAAACGGCGGCCGUAACUAUAACGGUCCUAAGGUAGCGAAAUUCCUUGUCGGGUAAGUUCCGACCUGCACGAAUGGCGUAAUGAUGGCCAGGCUGUCUCC
rnacentral:rRNA from 1 species